rnacentral:rRNA from 1 species
AUACGUAGGGUGCAAGCGUUAAUCGGAAUUACUGGGCGUAAAGCGUGCGCAGGCGGUUUUGUAAGACCGAGGGGAAAACCCCGGGCUCAAACUGGGAACUGCCUUUGUGACUGCCAGGCUAGAGUACGGCCGAGCGGGGUGGAAUUCCUCGUGUAGACGAGAAAGGCGUAGAUAUGCGGAGGAACACCGAUGGCGAAGGCAAUCCCCUGGGCCUGUACUGACGCUCAUGCACGAAAGCGUGGGGAGCAAACAGGAUUAGAUACCCUGGUAGUCCAUGCCCUAAACGAUGUCAACUGGUUGUUGGGUCUUCAUUGACUCAGUAACGAAGCUAACGCGUGAAGUUGACCGCCUGGGGAGUACGGCCGCAAGGUUGAAACUCAAAUGAAUUGGCGGGG